AGGAGGCGGGGCGCCUGUGGGAGCCGUGGAGGGAACUUUCCCAGUCCCCGAGGCGGAUCCGGUGUUGCAUCCUUGGAGCGAGCUGAGAGCUCGAGUACAGAACCUGCUAAGGCCAUCAAACCUAUUGAUCGGAAGUCAGUCCAUCAGAUUUGCUCUGGGCCGGUGGUACCGAGUCUAAGCACUGCGGUGAAGGAGUUAGUAGAAAACAGUCUGGAUGCUGGUGCCACUAAUAUUGAUCUAAAGCUUAAGGACUAUGGAGUGGAUCUCAUUGAAGUUUCAGGCAAUGGAUGUGGGGUAGAAGAAGAAAACUUCGAAGGCUUAAUGAUGUCACCAUUUCUACCUGCCAUGUAUCGGCGAAGGUUGGGACUCGACUGGUGUUUGAUCACUAUGGGAAAAUCAUCCAGAAAACCCCCUACCCCCACCCCAGAGGGAUGACAGUCAGUGUGAAGCAGUUAUUUUCUACGCUACCUGUGCACCAUAAAGAAUUUCAAAGGAAUAUUAAGAAGAAACGUGCCUGCUUCCCCUUCGCCUUCUGCCGUGAUUGUCAGUUUCCUGAGGCCUCCCCAGCCAUGCUUCCUGUACAGCCUGCAGAACUGUGAGUCAAUUAAACCUGUUUUCUUCAUAAA
rnacentral:lncRNA from 1 species